CGGCCGCGACGGCCCUGGCUGGCGUCAGUCAGGAAGCUAUUAAUCACCUCCAGCCGGUGCAGGUGCACCACCUGGAAGUUACCCACAUAUACGGCCCAGUGCGGGUACUGAGCCUGCGACACGAACUCCACCAGAUCGCCCGGCUUGCACUUGUUGAGCAGGUUCUCGGGUGUGUAGGUACUCAGCGCCGCCGAGCCCGGCGCGAAGCUCUUCUGGUAGAUGCAUUCGUCCCGGUAGAACACGGAGCAUUCCACCUCGUGCAGACGCGGAUCGUAGGGCUGCGGCUGGGGCGGCGGCGGCCCGUCCCCACCGUCGGGCAAGCCGCCGCCAUCUGGCCCCUGAGGCGGCGGCUGCGGCUCCACGUCCUCAUCGUCAUUGGAGAAAAUGUAGGAGACCCCAAUGCGGGGCCCGUCGUCCCGGUCCACGCCAGUCGGGUCUGCCGUGGGAACUUCCUUGUAACUUAGGUGGGUCAAUUUCUCCACCUGGUUGCCCAUCACGCUGCGGACACUCGUUCACACCGCCGCGAGGGGAGAAAGCG
rnacentral:antisense_RNA from 1 species